rnacentral:rRNA from 1 species
CCUACGGGGGGCUGCAGUGGGGAAUAUUGGACAAUGGGGGGAACCCUGAUCCAGCCAUGCCGCGUGUGUGAAGAAGGCCCUCGGGUUGUAAAGCACUUUCAGUGAGGAAGAACGCCUGGUGGUUAAUACCCAUCAGGAAAGACAUCACUCACAGAAGAAGCACCGGCUAACUCCGUGCCAGUAGCCGCGGUAAUACGGAGGGUGCGAGCGUUAAUCGGAAUUACUGGGCGUAAAGCGCGCGUAGGUGGCUUGAUAAGCCGGUUGUGAAAGCCCCGGGCUCAACCUGGGAACGGCAUCCGGAACUGUCAAGCUAGAGUGCAGGAGAGGAAGGUAGAAUUCCCGGUGUAGCGGUGAAAUGCGUAGAGAUCGGGAGGAAUACCAGUGGCGAAGGCGGCCUUCUGGACUGACACUGACACUGAGGUGCGAAAGCGUGGGUAGCAAACAGGAUUAGAUACCCUAGUAGUC